AGCUUUGCGCAACGGCAGUAUUGUAGCCAAUGAGUUUAUCUGAGGCCCAAUUAUGGCUAAUUGAAAAGUUAGACCCAGUGUGAAUGAAUCUGUUUCUCUUGUUCUCUUGGAGAAACAGAUUGGAUGGGAGAAAAAACAAAGCAAUGUC
rnacentral:snRNA from 1 species